rnacentral:rRNA from 1 species
AGAGUUUGAUCCUGGCUCAGAAUGAACGCUGGCGGCGUGCCUAACACAUGCAAGUCGGAUGUGCCCGCAAGGGUGCAUGGCAGACGGGUGAGUAACGCGUGGGGAACCUACCUCUUUGUGGGGAAUAACGCUCCGAAAGGAGUGGUAAUACCGCAUGAGACCGCGAUCUGGGAUGUUCGCGGUGAAACCUGGGGACCGAAAGGCCUGGGGCAAGGAGAGGGUCCUGCGUCUGAUUAGCUAGUUGGCGGGGUAAUGGCCCACCAAGGCGUCGAUCAGUAGCCGGCCUGAGAGGGUGAUCGGCCACACUGGAACUGAGACACGGUCCAGACUCCUACGGGAGGCAGCAGUGGGGAAUUUUGCGCAAUGGGCGAAAGCCUGACGCAGCAACGCCGCGUGGGUGAUGAAGGUCUUCGGAUCGUAAAACCCUGUCGUCAGGGACGAAGGUCGCCAAUUGAAUAGGUUGGUGGCUUGACGGUACCUGGAGAGGAAGCCCCGGCUAACUCUGUGCCAGCAGCCGCGGUAAUACAGAGGGGGCCAGCGUUAUACAGAAUUAUUGGGGCGUAACGGGCGCGUAGGCGGUUCGUUAAGUGAGAUGUGCACUACCCGGGCUCAACCUGGGAACUGC